UACGUAGGGACCAAGCGUUGUCCGGAAUUAUUGGGCGUAAAGAGCUCGUAGGCGGCUUGUCGCGUCGGAUGUGAAAGCCCGGGGCUUAACUCCGGGUCUGCAUUCGAUACGGGCAGGCUAGAGUUCGGUAGGGGAGAUCGGAAUUCCUGGUGUAGCGGUGAAAUGCGCAGAUAUCAGGAGGAACACCGGUGGCGAAGGCGGAUCUCUGGGCCGAUACUGACGCUGAGGAGCGAAAGCGUGGGGGGCGAACAGG
rnacentral:rRNA from 1 species